CUGGGUUAAUGAAGAAAAUUAAAAUAAAAAAAUUUCAGGGAUUAAAAAAAAAAAAGAAAAUUAUAAAACGGUCCGGACGGUUCAUGUCAUGAUCGGGCAGGGGCUGAGACAAAGAAGGAAAACCUGAAGAGGAGAGAAGGAACGACCUACCCAUCCAUCGCCAGCUGUCAGGUCGGGUCUGGGGUCAGGUCUCCUUUACGGGUUAUGCUAGGCUGGAACAUGUAUGCUGUUUGAGGUUGGCUGAAUUAUGGUAGCUCCAAAUCCUUUGAGAAUUUCUCUCUCCCAGUCAUUUGGAUUUUCAAGAUAACAGAAUAAUGGAUGAAGAUCUCCAUUGUAUUUCAGAAACCCCUCAGUUUGAGAGACCAGAUUCAGCUGAGAAAGCCAUUGAGUUGCUUGUACAAGACCAGGACUACACUGGGAAGAUAAAGGAGUUGCAGGCUUAUCUUGACAAAGUAAACGAAAUUGUGAAACCAGGUUGUUCACCAGAAGUUCUGAAGGUGGCUUUGAACUUCAUAUCCUCCCUGGUAAACUUCCUUUCUCACAUCUCCUCUCCAAAACCCCAUGCCUCACUCUGAAGUCUUAAGCAAAUCUUCCUUCAGUUGGCAGAGUUAAUACAAUGAACAUCUCUCUUAUGUUUCCCUUUGACAAUAAGGAAGCUCUAUUGAUGUAUUUCUUCUUAUUGACGAUUCCCUCUACAACUUCGAAUCCAAUCUCUUUAGAAUAAUGUGUACCUUUAAUCGUAAUAUCCUUCUCCUGCCCCUCAUCCUUCUUUAGCAUCCCUAGUUCACCGACAAUGGCUUGGGCUAGAGCCAUGAAACAUGUGUUUAAAUCACUAUUAGGAAUCAUAUUUACUAAACUUUAACCUAUAUUAUUUGUCUGUUUGGAUCUUAAUUUUAAGUAAAAGCAGAGAAUAGGGAAUAUCAUUGCUUGA